rnacentral:lncRNA from 1 species
GGCUGAGGAGCUGCAGAACACGCCUGAGGACCCCUCCUUGUCUCCACCACGGGAAUGGCGCUGGAGCGAAGCGAUUCUUCUGGUUGGUUGGAGAGUGGAGGAGGAGAAAGUGGGGCGAAGGCAGAGGAAGGAGCGAAGAUGGAGCUGCACGUUCCGGCGGGCUUUGAAGCAGGGAUGGGCUGUGAGGUCAAAGUGGCUGGGAGCAAUGGGAGAUGCUGGGGAAGCCCGGUGGAGAAGGUCCUCAGAUCCCACUGCCUGUCCCUGGAAGAGGAGAUAAAGCAGGAAGAUGAGGAGGUCCAGGGAACAGUAGCCAAGGUGGACACACAUUUCCAGGAAGGAGAGGAUGCUCCUUCAGACGCCAGGCAGAGGGUUGUGUUCAGAUGGAUUGUCCGUGAGGGUGAUGGAGACACUGCCUCCCUGGGAAAAGAAACGAUGACCAGCAAUAGUGAAACAAGGCUUUGGCAUUCUUCUAGGCUUUCUUCUCUUUUUGGUGGGGUGGAAACAGCCGCUGUGAAGCCACUACAGGUAUGGAAGGCUUACCUGGAGAGACCGGAAAUGGCUAGACUUGUAGCUUGGACUUUUCAGAGAUGGCGAAUUUGUUCCAGGUUUUAAUACGAACUUGAAAGAAGCAAUUCAAGAUCCUGAAUGUAUUUUUGGCGGGUAGGGGUAGACUUCGGAACAUUGGCGGCCUCCUGUAAAGUUUGGAGUAGAAUCUGCCACUAUCAUCCCAUUAAAUCAAUGUCCUUGGCCCACCACUGAAAGGGCGAGAGCCUCUGCAUCCGUCCUGUUGGCCUGUGUUUAAAGCUAAAAGAGGCUGCUCCUAUUUUUGGCCCCAUUCCUUUCCCUUUGGCCCUGCCCACAAUGAGAACAUGAACCAGGAUCUGGUUGU